GUCCACGCCGUAAACUAUGGAUGCUAGCCGUCGGCAAGCUUGCUUGUCGGUGGCGCAGCUAACGCAUUAAGCAUCCCGCCUGGGGAGUACGGCCGCAAGGUUAAAACUCAAAGGAAUUGACGGGGGCCCGCACAAGCGGUGGAGCAUGUGGUUUAAUUCGACGCAACGCGAAGAACCUUACCAGCUCUUGACAUGUCCGGUCGGUUUCCAGAAAUGGGAUCCUCCUAGCAAUAGGUCGGAACACAGGUGCUGCAUGGCUGUCGU
rnacentral:rRNA from 1 species